rnacentral:lncRNA from 10 species
CCUUCAGGUAGCCUGAAUACCAUAGAGACAGAACGAUUGACAAAGAAGCAAAGGAGGAUGUACUUGCCAUUCUCAAGGAAAUCUACUUACCCAGCUAGCACCAAGGGGAUUUCUUUGCAUUUUUGAAUGUGUUCCAAGACUUCCAAAUGGCAUUUCCUGAAUCUAAAAUGCCAGGUGCCUUAUAAACCAUUUUGUUUGUCGGAGUUUAACAGCCUCCCUCUGUGUGAAGGAAAGCUGACUUCCUGAGAAGAUCUCCAUCUUCAGGAAGGCUGAGGAACUAAAGAAAGGAGGUGUUGGAACCAGGUCCUGGGAGCAGAAGAAAGUUCCCACUUCAAAGGUUGCCACUACUUUCUGCACUGAGGUCUGAGAGGAAGGACCACGCUGUGGAUGCUGGAGUGGCGGAAGCCAGGCAGAUCCUUCCAGAGACACUGUCAAUGAAGGAAAAGACAAAGAGCCCUAUGGGAAAAGAAAAUACACACUGACCAAAUGCUGAGCCUGUUAUGAAUUCUGUGAUUUCAAAAGAGAAGUGAGCUAAGCCUGAGAUUAAGCUUCUCUGUUUUAGGGGACUCUGUUGAUAAAUUAUCCUAAUAGGAAUGGAUACCAACUUUUUGUGUGUGUAAACUUGUGAGAGGUCAUGGUCCGCCCCUCCACCCAGCUUUUUUCUCACCUAUCUCCUUGGAAGUCCAACCCCAUAAAAUACUGAAACUAUUAAUUCACAAGACAUGUGCACAGAUCUUGUUUAGUUCUGCCCCUAAUCUUGCUUUCAUAAAUAUUUGAAAAUUGCAGCUAAAGCCAAAUUGUGCUUCUCACAUAAUGGAACUGCAGGCUAGUAUAGCAGCGCAAUCCUUUAAAGUUCCUGGAGGGGGGAAGUGAGAGAUGAUGAGAUUUGGGGACAGUUUAUGUGAGCAAUUUGUUAUGCAUGCAGGAGGAAUGGCGACUUGAUGACAGAUUCACUUCUUGGUCCUGAACCUUAAUUAACAAGGCCCUCUGAGUAACAUGCGGAGAAACAAUAGGAAAAUUCUUCUGAGCAUUUCACAGAUUAUUCACUUAUAAUCUUUGGGGAUUUAUUUUAUUAUUAUUUUUCUUUCUUUGUGAGCUGCAGCUUUGUUGCCUUGACAUCCACACUCAAGAGUUAUUGGUAUCAAACCAAGCUAUAUAAAAAGCUAUCAAGCACUUCUCAGAUUUUCCACAGUUCAAAGCAGUGUUGGCAGCCUGCCAGCCAUGAAAGAUGAGCUGCACCCCAAUGUGAUGAGUGUGGCUGCACGUGCAAAAGGGAGCUUGGGGGUGAGGUAGGAAAGGCUGCCAACUUAGAGAACCCCACAGGGGAGAAAGCUGGAUCCAUCCCCAUAGACCUGAGGGUCAAUUCUGCCCCUGCAGGGAGCAAACGAAACUAAUAAUGUUGACUAGGUACAACCAUCAUAGAAAUAUUACAUUCUUGGAAAAUAAUUUUUUAAAAGAGAAGAAUCCAGCUAUAUUAACCAGAAAAAUAUCGGCGAGGAUUUUAUUUAUUUUGGCCCCAGAUACACCGGAGACCUUAGGUCUGGGAAUCUGCUGAGACCAAAACACCAAUGUGUAGGACCUGAGGUGAUAAUAUUCUUCUUACAGACAGAUGAUAUAAAAUUAGGAAUUUCUAAGAAAUCUUGGAACAUUCUAUUAUCCCUGAUUUUGCCUGUGCACAAGCUUCAACUUUACUUUUUAAUUUUUGUUCAGUCUUUUCCAAUCCCAGUUGGUAAAUGGAGGUGAAACCAUGAGGCACAUUUUAGUUUGUUUUAAUCUUUCCAAAACUCAGUGAUGCUUGGAGUCAUUUUCAGGUAGCAUGGUUGGCCGUGUUGUUGCAAAUUAGGACAUUAAGACCCAGAGACAUUCUGUUCUUAUCAAAGCCCGCGUAGCUAGCAAACACCAGAACUGAAACCCAAAUUUCUACAAUCACCAGUCACCCUCUGAUCCAGGAAUAUAUCAUCCACUGAGUAACAGCAUAUUCACUUGUAAAUGCAAACAUCAUAUAAAGCUAUGUAGAGCAGCAGUCCCCAACUUUUUUUGGCACCAAAGAGCAGUUUCAUGAAAAACAAUUUUUCUACGGACUACAGGGUGUGGGGAGAUGGUUUUGGGAUGAAACUGUUCCAGCUCAGAUCAACAGGCAUUAGAUUCUCAUAAGGAGCUCACAACCUAGAUCCCUCACCUGCACAGUUCACAAUAGGGUUCACACUCCUAUGAGAAUCAAAUGCUGCCACUGAUCUGACAGGAGGUUGAGCUAAGGCAGUAAUGCUUGCUUGCCUGCCACUAACCUCCUGCUGUGUGGCCCAGUUCCUAACACGCCCUAGACCAGUAGCCGUUGGGGGCCCCUGAUGUAGAAGACUCUGUUGGUGCCCCAAGUAUUUUCUCUGCCAGUCAUUUGUGGGUAUUCUAUGUUACACAAAUUGAAAAUGCAAGUUAACCCACUGAAGUGACCCUCAACCAAUGAAGGAUAGAAAUUGGUGGAUAGGGCUGGGCACGGUGGCUCACACCUAUAAUCCCAGCACUUUGAGAGGCUGAAGUGGGUAAAUCACCUGAGGUUGGGAGUUCGAGACCAGCCCGACCAACAUAAAGAAACCCCAUCUCUACUAAAAAUACAAAAUUAGCAGGGCGUGGUGGCGCAUAUCUGUAAUCCCAGCUACUCGGGCGGCUGAGGCAGGUGAAUCCCUUGAACCCGGGAGGCAGAGGUUGCAGUGAGCUGAGAUCGUACUCCAGUUGCAGUGAGCCAUUGUACUCCAGCCUGGGCAACAAGAGUGAAACUCCAUCUCAAAACAAAACAACAACAACAACAAAAAAAAAAAAAAAAAAAAGAAAAAAGAAAUUAGUGGACAGCUCUCACAGCAUCUUCACUACUUAGUGGCAUAAUUUCUAUGCACAUUCAACACAGGUUCUCAAAGUGUCCACGUUGGACUGAGACUUAGUUAUCUACAGCAGUGACCAAUUCAUUAAUGUUCCUUUUUCUGUGACCUAUUCAUUAACGUACCUUUCUCUUUCCCUGUCUCAGUUCUUCCCUCUCACUUUCAAAUAUAUUACUUGCACCCAAAUCAACCCAAACCAACACCAUUAACUUGCAUAUUUAUCACGUACUACAUCUAUCAAUGAGCCCAGAAUCCAAAGAUCUCGCAACAGAAAGAAAAACCCAGUUGGAUCUUUGUUUCCUGUUCCAGAUAUAGCUUUACCUACGACAAGAGAAUUGCUACUUUCUUUUCAAAGUACUUUAUGCUACCAUGAUAUUUUAAGAAUAAUGCAAUUUGAUUGGAGGACAGACUUGUAUAAAAGCAAUUGAGAAUAAAAUGAAUAUCUACUUCUAAAUUCUACCAACCAGAAAUAACUACUGUUUAUAUUUUGGUAAAUACAAUUGUAUAUACAUAUAUGUUUACAAAAUAAAACAGUUUCAUAUAUUGUUUUAUAAC